rfam:Cavia porcellus supercont2_10 genomic scaffold, whole genome shotgun sequence.
AACUUUGGACAGUGGCAGUAUCAUAGCCAGUGAAGUUUAUCUGAGGCUUGAUUGUUGUUAAUUGAAGCUUAGAAUUAACAAGCUCUUAAUCUAAAGCAUUCUUUUGGUGGGUAUGUUAUUUUUAUUUCUGUUUACC